GCCUCGCUAGCUCAAUUGGUAGAGCAGGGGCCUCUUAAGCCCAAGGUUACAGGUUCAAAUCCUGUGCGAGGCAC
rnacentral:tRNA from 1 species